CAAGGAAUAGUUUAUAUAAAAUUUUAAUUUUGGAGAUUAAAGAUAAAGGAGUAUCCUUUUUCCUUGA
rnacentral:tRNA from 1 species